ensembl:lncRNA
GAGGCAGUCUCGGGUGAUGAACGGAAUGAUUACAUUUUGAGAGCUCAAAGGAAGCUGGAUUAUCAAUUCGUAUAAAUUCUUUCUUGCAGGUUGAAAAAGGGUUGAACCAAUCCAAGAACCACAAUCUCCCGAAUAGAAAAGUGAGCAGUAAAGUCUAGACUGCAGACCGCUCUAACCUCUGGUGUUCACUCGGUGGGGAGAAGGGCUAUCAGUGGCAACACUGAGACACUCGCUCCUCUUGCUGGGUGUCUACUCAUUGGAGGCCAAGGGUGUGUCCACGGUCGAGAAGAGGAGAAACGCUCACAGAGGGAGACCUGAUGGAGAUGGAAAUACUAAAUGCAAACCAGGAUGCCCCUGAGGGUGAGAAACCGCACAGACGACGUCGAUGCUGGACAAGAGGAUGCCAACUGACCACUGUCACAACGAUGUGUUCCAUGCUCGUGUUCACAGUAUUCUUAUCACUGGCCCUGGUAGGCAUGAACACGGCCUGCACCAGCAACCCAUGUGACCCACACUGCCCG